CCCAGGGAUCACACAACCUGAACCGAAAUCAAGAGUCAGACGCUCAACGGACUGAGCUACCCAGGCGCCCCUGAAGGAAGCUUUUAUAUGCGAGACAUGAUUGCAACCCGGACCAGGGUGGAAUACGUGUGGGUGGCAAGAAGCACACCAUUCCAGAAGCUAGAAAAAGCAUCGAGAUGAUUAUGGUCUUUAGCAGCAGGAUGGCGUUGCCACGAGUGAUGUGAAAUGAUGUAAACCACUCCUGGGAGGGCUGCUGUGUUUUAAACCUCACUUCAGCUUUUCCUCACCUCCGUCUGGUGAUGAACAGCAGACAGGAGAGAAGGCUUCGUGGGAGCUUGCGCAACAUGUGUGACAAUGGAUCAAUGGCCACAAAAGUCCCGCCAGCCUAAGCGGCAGCUCCUAAAGCGGUGGUUCACAAAAACACAUUCCUUCUGUGGUCAACGGGGGAGCGACGAAAAAGAGUUCCACGUUCAUCUCUUUGAGUUUAGGAAAUUCUGGACUCACUGAAGUUAAAUAGGUCUCCCUCCUACAGAAUUUCCCGGAGUCUCUAGCAUGAAGAUAUGCAUGGAGAGCCUGCCUGAGGGGUUCCACAGAAUUCUGGGUCUCUCUCCAGGUUUCGAAGAAUAUUCAUGGACACUCCUCUUCUCAAAAUCAAUGGUUUGUUAUCAUCACGAGUACGUAAAAUGGGUAUUUAAACAACGCUUCACCUUGGGGAGAGAUGACUACGUUUUGAGGUAGCCUCGCACGACGAGCUUGACUUGAUUCCAUCAGCUGGGGAACAAGGCCAUCGGUCAUUCGGUGAAUAAGGCCAUCGCUAUUUGCGACAUCAAAUCAAGAAGUCUCCAACCAACAGAGCAUCAGCCAAAGCGGUGGGCGUUUAUGAGGCGGCGAUCCAACUUCUGGGACCCGGAGGACAGCUGCCGUAUUUUGGUGCGCAUCCAUCGAGACCAACUGGUCUAUUG